CCUACGGGUGGCAGCAGUGGGGAAUAUUGGGCAAUGGGCGAAAGCCUGACCCAGCAAUGCCGCGUGAAUGAAGAAGGUCUUAUGAUUGUAAAAUUCUGUCCUCUGGGAAGAAAAAAAUGACGGUCCCAUAGGACUAAGCCCCGGCUACCUACGUGCCAGCAGCCGCGGUAAUACGUAGGGGGCGAGCGUUGUCCGGAAUUACUGGGCGUAAAGAGAGCGUAGGCGGCACUACAAGGCUCAUGUGGAAUACCCGGGCUUAACUUGGGGGUUGGAUUGGAAACUGUAGAGCUUGAGUACAGGAGAGGCAAGCGGAAUUCCUAGUGUAGCGGUGAAAGGCAUAGAUAUUAGGAGGAACACCAGUGGCGAAGGCGGCUUGCUGGAAUGAAGCUGCCACUGACAUUGAUGCUCGAAAGUGUGGGUAUCAAACAGGAUUAGAUACCCCGGUAGUC
rnacentral:rRNA from 1 species